rnacentral:lncRNA from 1 species
GGAAUGAUGGCGUAGGGGGAACUUGACCUGGUAGAGAAGCCAACUGAGUUUAAUCUGGAAGGCCUUGUUUACAGACACCAGCAAUGCACUGUAAUAGAAGGAUAACCUGAAAUGACCCAACAGUCUGGGAGAAAGGAGCCUGCAGAGACCAGAAGGGGGUGUUGGAUAUGUCAGCACUGAAGUGACAGAGGACAGAAGACAGUGUCAGAUCCCCUGGAAUUAGAGUUACAAAUGGCUGUAAGCAACCUGAAAGGUAUUGGAAAUCAAACCCAUGUCCUCUGCAAAGAGCAGCCAGUGCUCUUAACUACUGGGCCAUCUCUCCAGCGUGCCCCAUCCCCACUCCAUGUUAUAACUUUUUAAAGCUUUCAUACAGGAGUCUAUAGUACUUCAAAGAGAUAUCUUGCCUGACUCUGCCACACCAACUGUCACAAAGGUCCCAGGACACGAUGUGGGUGGUUCUUCUCCACACCACAAAGGUGGACCACCGAGGACCUGCAUCCUUCUGUGAUUUCUCACCCACCCGAGAGCCCAUGCCAAGCCCUUAGAGCGCCUCCUGAAUUCCUUUCUAUCCCAUCUCAUGCCUUACAUGAGUUAAACAGUUCCUGAUAGACAAAAUGGGUAACUCAGUAUUCUGUGUAUAAACUGAAUUUCCUAGUGCUGCUUAGGACAUCGUGCUCAACGGAGCAAUAGAAAGUCAAUUUAACACAAUAAACAGGGAAAGCAGAAAGAGUAAACAAAACGUGGAAGGGUGAGGCUUGUUCUUUCUGAUGAGGCAGCUUCCUGUCAGCCUUUGAAAGAACAAGUUUUUGAAAAAUGUCCGACCCUACUCAUUUGGUUUUUUCCACAGUCCAUUACAUAUUUUUAUACAUUUCCAGAAAAAAAAAUAUGAGAAAAGAUGUGAUUAAAACCAGAAAUAAUUCACAAGUGGAAUACAAGUUAUUUUAUUAAUUUGUUUAAGUGUGUGUGUGUGUGUGUGUGUGUGUGUGUGUGUGUGUGUGUGUGUGUGUAUGCGCCCUCUGUGGAGGACAUAGGAAAAUCUGUAGGAGUCAAUUCUUCCCUUCCCUUGUGUGGGGCCUGGGAUCUAACUCACACCUUCAUCUGAGCCAUUUUGUCAACACCAUGCAAACUAUUUUAAAGCUUUUUGUUUGUUUUGAAACAGGCCCCUCAUGUAGUCCAGACUGGCCUCACCUCAAUGGCCCUGCCUCAGCAUCUCAGAGUGCUGGGUUAAGAGUCCACACCACUACCUAGGGUUCUUUAAGCUAUUUUUCAUCUGAAACAAACCUCCAGGAAGCAUCCACCACAGUUCAAGGGUGCAAAAACAGC